UGAUUGCUGUGAUGACUCGUACAAGGACGGUAUCUGAAGGGGGUCACUUUUAAGUGCACCUCGUGUGAUUAUACCAAAACUAAAUAUGGUUUCUGAGCAUAGUCA